rnacentral:rRNA from 1 species
AGAGUUUGAUCCUGGCUCAGGACGAACGCUGGCGGCGUGCUUAACACAUGCAAGUCGAGCGAUGAACCACCUUCGGGUGUGAAUUAGCGGCGAACGGGUGAGGAACACGUGAGAAAUCUUGCCUUCAACACUGGGAUAACUCCGGGAAACCGGGGCUAAUACCGGAUAUGAAAUCUGCGGGCAUCCGCGGAUUUGGAAAGUUUUUCGGUUGAAGAUGAUCUCGCGGCCUAUCAGCUUGUUGGUGAGGUAAUGGCUCACCAAGGCGACGACGGGUAGCCGGCCUGAGAGGGCGACCGGCCACACUGGGACUGAGACACGGCCCAGACUCCUACGGGAGGCAGCAGUGGGGAAUAUUGGGCAAUGGAGGAAACUCUGACCCAGCGACGCCGCGUGCGGGAUGAAGGCCUUCGGGUUGUAAACCGCUUUCAGCAGGGAAGAAGCGAAAGUGACGGUACCUGCAGAAGAAGCACCGGCUAACUAUGUGCCAGCAGCCGCGGUAAUACAUAGGGUGCAAGCGUUGUCCGGAAUUAUUGGGCGUAAAGAGCUCGUAGGUGGUUCGUCACGUCGGAUGUGAAACUCUGGGGCUUAACCCCAGACCUGCAUUCGAUACGGGCGAGCUUGAGUAUGGUAGGGGAGUCUGGAAUUC